AUAUCAAUAAGCGGAGGAAAAGAAACCAACAGGGAUUGCCUUAGUAACGGCGAGUGAAGCGGCAACAGCUCAAAUUUGAAAUCUGGCUCUUUCAGAGUCCGAGUUGUAAUUUGUAGAAGAUGCUUCGGGUGUGGUACCGGUCUAAGUUCCUUGGAACAGGACGUCAUAGAGGGUGAGAAUCCCGUAUGUGACUGGUCACCUUCGCUCAUGUGAAGCUCUUUCGACGAGUCGAGUUGUUUGGGAAUGCAGCUCAAAAUGGGUGGUAAAUUUCAUCUAAAGCUAAAUAUUGGCCAGAGACCGAUAGCGCACAAGUAGAGUGAUCGAAAGAUGAAAAGCACUUUGGAAAGAGAGUUAAACAGUACGUGAAAUUGUUGAAAGGGAAGCGCUUGCAACCAGACUUGCACGUAGUUAAUCAUCCGGGGUUCUCCCCGGUGCACUUGGCUACGUUCAGGCCAGCAUCGGUUUCGGUGGUUGGAUAAAGGCCUAGGGAAUGUGGCUCUCUUCGGGGAGUGUUAUAGCCCUAGGUGCAAUGCAGCCCACUGGGACCGAGGACCGCGCUUCGGCUAGGAUGCUGGCGUAAUGGUUGUAAGCGA
rnacentral:rRNA from 1 species